rnacentral:SRP_RNA from 1 species
GCCAGGCGAGGUGGUGCAUGCCAGGUCCCAGCCACUCCGGAGGCUGAGGUGAGAGCAUCACUCGAGCCCAGGGGUCCUGGGUGGUCAUGUGCUAAGCCACGGGGUGGGUGCUUAGCAUCAAUAAAGUGACCUACCAGCAGUUGUGGAACACCAGGUUGCCUAAAGAGGACAGACGUGGCUCAGGUCAAAACCCCUGUUCUGAUCAGUAGUGGGAUCGUGUCUGUGAGUAGACACUGCAUUCAAUCCAGCCUGGGCAACACAACAAGAUCCCAUCUCUA